GAAAAACUAGAAUCAUCAAGCUCAUCAAAAAGAACAAGUUAUGAAACAAAUUCAAUAAGUAAUUUAAACCAAUAUUACAUAACAGGAAAAAUAAAUGAAAAAGAAUAUCUAAUACUUUUGAAUACAGGACAAGAAGAAAAUUAUAUAGCAAAAUAUCUAGUAAAAAAUGAAGAAAUAAAAACCGAUAAUAAUAUAUGCCCAGACUUACCAAGAAGUUUAAUAAAUAAUAAAAAUAUAGCAGAAAAAGAAAUAAUAUUAGGAGUUAGAAAAAUAAAAAUAGAAUUCGAAGUAAAAGAAGAAAUGCAAAAAGCAGAUAUAAUAUUAGGAAUAAAAUGGUUAGAACAAGUAAAACCAUAUAAUAUAGAACAUACACAAUUAACCUUAACAUAUAACCAAGAAAAGUUAUUCUUAAAAAGAGCCUUAACAUGAAAUGAAGAUACAUGUAUUAAUGAAGAUAGUAGUAGAAGGAUAUUACAGUAGAUAUUAUACGCCUAUGAUAGAUACAGGAGCAGAAGCUAAUUUAUGUAGAUAUAAUUGCUUACCAGAAAGCAAAUGGGAUAAACUAAAAACACCAAUAAUAGUUAAAGGAUUUAAUAAUGAAGGAAGCUUAAUUACUUAUAAAGCUAGGAAUGUAAAAAUACAAGUAUGGGAUAAGAUAUUAACAAUAGAAGAAAUUUAUAACUAUGAAUUAACAUCAAAAGAUAUACUUUUAGGAAUGCCAUUUUUAGAUAAAUUAUACCCACAUAUAAUAACCAAAACAGACUGGUGGUUUACAACACCAUGCAAACAAAAAGUAAGAGCAAAAAGAGUUAAUAAUAAAAUAAGAAAGAAAACUGAUUGGAUAAAAGGAAGUGAAAAAAUUACACAAAAGUUAGAAAAUAUAAAAAAUACUGAAGAUACAGUAGAACUAGUAGUAUUUUCGAUAAAUAAAACAGAAAUAACUAUAUUUUCAAUAAAUAAAAUAGAAAUAAUUCAGAAAAAAUUAGAACAAUUAUAUAGUGAAGAUCCAUUAAAAGGAUGGGAAAAACACAAAACUACUAUAAAAAUUGAAUUAAUAGAUAAGAAUAGCAUAAUAACACAAAAACCAUUAACAUAUAAUUUUGAUGAUUUAAAAGAAUUUAAAAUGCACAUAGAUGAAUUAUUAGAAAAACAAUAUAUACAAAAAAGUAAUAGUAAACAUAAUAGUCCAGCAUUUAUAGUAAAUAAACAUAGUGAACAAAAAAGAGGAAAAAGUAGGAUGGUUAUUGACUAUAGAAAUUUAAAUGCAAAAACUAUAACAUAUAAUUAUCCGAUACCAAAUAAGAUAUUAAAAAUAAGACAAAUCCAAGGAUAUAAUUAUUUUAGCAAAUUUGAUUGUAAAUCAGGAUUUUACCACCUAAAGCUAGAAGAAGAAUCUAAAGAAUUAACCGCAUUUACGGUACCACAAGGAUUUUAUGAAUGGAACGUGUUACCAUUUGGAUAUAAAAAUGCACCAGGUAGAUAUCAACAUUUUAUGGAUAAUUAUUUUAAACAAUUAUCUAAUUGUAUAGUAUACAUAGAUGAUAUAUUAUUAUACACCAAAACCAAAGAAGAACAUUUAAAAUUAUUAGAACAAUUCACAGAUAUAAUAGAAAAAUCAGGAAUAAGUCUAAGCAAAAAGAAAGCUGAAAUUAUGAAAAACCAGAUAGAAUUUUUAGGAAUACAAAUAGAUAAAAGUGGAGUAAAAAUGCAACAACAUAUAGUACAAAAAAUAAUAAAUUCGAAAGAAGAAUUAGAUACAAAAAAGAAAUUACAAUCAUUUUUAGGAUUAGUAAACCAAGUAAGAGAAUAUAUUCCAAAAUUAGCAGAAACCUUAAAACCACUGCAGAAAAAAUUAAAAAAGGAUAUAGAAUAUAAUUAUGAUGAAAAAGAUAAAAAACAAGUUCAAAAAAUAAAAUUACUUUGUAGAGAAUUACCAAAAUUGCAAUUUCCAGAUGAAAAUAGAAAAUUUAUAUAUAUAGUAGAAGCAGAUGCAAGUGAAUAUAGUUACGGAGGAGUACUUAAAUAUCGAUAUGAAGCAGAAAAAAUAGAACACCAUUGUAGAUACUACUCAGGUACGUUCAACGAGACAGAAAUAAAAUGGGAAAUAAAUAGGAAAGAAUUAUGUUCAUUAUAUAAAUGUUUAUUAGCAUUUGAGCCAUAUAUUGUAUAUAACAAAUUUAUUGUACGAACAGAUAAUACACAGGUACGCUGGUGGUUAACAAAGAAAAUACAAAAUUCAGUUACAACAAAAGAGAUUCGAAGACUAGUUUUAAAUAUAUUAAAUUUCACAUUUACAAUUGAAGUGAUCAGUACUAACAAAAAUGUUAUUGCAGAUUACAUAUCAAGACAAAGCUACACAGACUGAAAUAGUAGAGGAAGAUACUCUAGAAAAAAUACUUAACACCCUAACUACGCUUUCAAUGAAAGUGGACAGUAUGGGUAAUGAGAUAGAAAAGCUAAAGACUAAUGAAGAUAAACUGAAGUCUAUAGCUACAAAUCAGCUAACUCAGCAGUGUGCAGAGCUAUGUCGACCGGAAGACAUUAAAAAUCCAGAGCUAGAAGGAGACGUUGGGACACUCCAUAAAACCCAUAACAUUUAUCAAUCUACUUCUGCAGGUACAAGCAAAGGAGUUAAUAGACCAAGAUACCAGAAUGUAAAUAUGAACAAAAUAUUUGAAAAACCAUUUACCCCAAAAGCACAAAAAGACCAUUUAUUCAUACCCCCACAAGUUAACACAUACCGAGACAGCCUAAACCAAGACAAGAAAAUAUACAACUACACAGCCCAAAAAUACAUAGAAAAUAUAUAUAGAGUCCAAACCUUUCUAAACCAUAACCCCAGAGCUACAAAUAUCCAAGAACCAAAUACCAAUUAUAUAACCCAAAAACUACAAGGAUACAAUAAACUGAUAGCACUACCCAAAACUAACCCAAGCCUAGUUAAAACCUGUUUUGACUAUGGACUACUAAAUACCAUAUACACCCAAGACGGAGAAGAGCUAACAGCUAUGGAGGAAUUAUACAAGAUAUUCACUACCUACAAAAGAAUAAAAAAAGGAAAUUUAUUUUAUAUAAAGUGUUAUACUGCACCAGCAGAGAUAUUAUAUGAUGAAAUAAAACCAGUGAUACAGAAAGUAAAGAAAUAAGAAAAUUAUAUUUUAAUAAAUUACCCGAGCCAUUUAGUUCGAAAAUAAUAAAAAGUUGGGAAGAAGCAAAAAUAGUAGAUACGUUAGGAGCAAGAAUAAAAUAUUUACAACAAUGGUAUAGAAACUUAUGUGAAAAAUAUAGAGAAGAAUUAAAAAUGGAAAAAACAUUAAUAAGAAAUUUAGCUUGUUGCAAAAAUAAAAUAGCACCCCAAUUUGGAUGCGAAGAAAGAUAUUAUAAGAAAAGAAAAAGACAUAAGAAAUAUAAGAAAUAUAAAAAAUCAAAAUAUAAAUAUAAAAAACCAAGAAAAAGAUACUAUGUAAAAAAUUAUAAACAUAAAAGACCAUAUAGAAAAAAGAAAUCUAUAAAAGAAUGUACUUGUUAUAAUUGUGGAAAGUUAGGACAUUUAGCUAGAGAUUGUAAAUUACCUAAAAAUCCAAAAAAUAAACAAAUAUCAGAAAUAAAAAUAGAAAAUACCGAAUACAUGCAGAUAGAUUAUAUAGAUUAUGAAUUAGAAAGUGAAGAUAGUAUAUAUGAAAUUUCAGAAAACGAAACAGAUAAUGAAAUAGAUAGCGAAAUAGAUGAAUCAAAUGACUGAAGAAGAUAUAAAAAUAAUAACAAAGGAAGAAUAUUUAAAUGAUGAAGGAACGGAACAAAAAAUAAUAUUUGACAGUAAUAUAUUUGAUGAAAUAAAAGGAAAAGAAUUAGAUUUAAGUGUAGAAAAAAUAUUUAAAAUACCAACAAUAAAAAAUAUUUUUACUAGGAAAAAGGAUGAAUAUUAUGUAGUAUGUCAAAAAGAACAUGUAAUAGACUGCAGAUAUGCAAAAGGAAAAGCUAGUAUACCAUUAGUAACAAAAAGAAUAAUUAAUAAAGAAAUAAAUGAUAUAAAAAGUAAAGGAGAUCCAAUAAAAUAUGUACACCUUGGAGGUACAGAGAUAUUAAUAAAAGCAUGUUUUAGAGAAGGAAUAGAUACACCAAUAGAAUUAUAUUUAGCAGACGAUAGAAUUAUAAAACCUAUAGAAAAAAGCAUAAUAACUGCCGUAAAAGGAAAUCUAAUAUACCAAAAAUUUAAAUUUAUAAUAAGUGCAAAUUAUUCAGUAGCAGUAACAGAUAGGAAUAUAGAUAAAUCAUUAGUAUUAUAUUGGAAAAUAUCAGGAAUAGAAUUAACCCCAGGAAGUAAAAUAUUUACAGCAAGAUGUAAAAAUCUAUAUGUAUUAACAACAAAACAUAAAAUAACAGGAAAAAAUAAGAUUAACAAAAUACAAAUAGAAAGCCCAUUCGAACAAAUAGUAAAAACAAUAGAUUAUAAUGAUUAUACCUAUAGAGACAUAGAUACAGAAGAAAAUUUAGAAAUAGUAAAUGAUAGAAUAAGUACAACGAAAAGAAUAGCUAAUGAAAAGCCAGAAUCAUCAAGCUCAUCAAAAAGAACAAGUUAUGAAACAAAUUCAAUAAGUAAUUUAAACCAAUAUUACAUAACGGGAAAAAUAAAUGAAAAAGAAUAUUUAAUACUUUUGAAUACAGGACAAGAAGAAAAUCAUAUAGCAAAAUAUCUAGUAAAAAAUGAAGAAAUAAAAACCGACAAUAAUAUAUGCCCAGACUUACCAAGAAGUUUAAUAAAUAAUAAAAAUAUAGCAGAAAAAGAAAUAAUGUUAGGAGUUAGAAAAAUAAAAAUAGAAUUCGAAGUAAAAGAAGAAAUGCAAAAAGCAGAUAUAAUAUUAGGAAUAAAAUGGUUGGAACAAGUAAAACCAUAUAAUAUAGAACAUACACAAUUAACCUUAACAUAUAACCAAGAAAAGUUAUUCUUAAAAAGAGCCUUAACAUGAAAUGAAGAUACAUGUAUUAAUGAAGAUAGUAGUAGAAGGAUAUUACAGUAGAUAUUAUACGCCUAUGAUAGAUACAGGAGCAGAAGCUAAUUUAUGUAGAUAUAAUUGCUUACCAGAAAGCAAAUGGGAUAAACUAAAAACACCAAUAAUAG
rnacentral:lncRNA from 1 species